rnacentral:lncRNA from 1 species
AAUUUGAAUUAACAAACUAUUUUCAAAAUUAAUAAUUGAUAGUCAUAUUUAUUAUUAAAAUACCAAUAAAGUAUAGUCAUUUAUAAUUUAAUCAUUGUGUUAAUAUAUAUGAAUUAUUAUUUUUACCUGAGAUUACCUGUAAAAUGAAUGCGCGCAAAUGUAAUCAAAAGCUGCGCGCAAACGUAAAAUAUUUUAAUCCCCAAAUGCGCGCAAACGUAGUGCGCCCGUAUA